UACGAAGGGGGCUAGCGUUGCUCGGAAUCACUUGGCGUAAAGCGCACGUAGGCGGACUCUUAAGUCGGUGGUGAAAUCCUGGAGCUCAACUCCAGAACUGCCUUCGAUACUGAGAGUCUCGAGUCCGGGAGAGGUGAGUGGAACUGCGAGUGUAGAGGUGAAAUUCGUAGAUAUUCGCAAGAACACCAGUGGCGAAGGCGGCUCACUGGCCCGGUACUGACGCUGAGGAGCGAAAGCGUGGGGAGCGAACAGG
rnacentral:rRNA from 1 species